rnacentral:tRNA from 2 species
GCGGGAGUGGCGGAAUUGGCAGACGCACCAGAUUUAGGUUCUGGCGCCUUCGGGUGUGGGGGUUCAAGUCCCCCCUCCCGCACCA